rnacentral:rRNA from 1 species
UACGAAGGGGGCUAGCGUUGCUCGGAAUCACUGGGCGUAAAGCGCACGUAGGCGGAUUGCUAAGUCAGGGGUGAAAUCCUGGAGCUCAACUCCAGAACUGCCUUUGAUACUGGCGACCUUGAGUCCGGGAGAGGUGAGUGGAACUGCGAGUGUAGAGGUGAAAUUCGUAGAUAUUCGCAAGAACACCAGUGGCGAAGGCGGCUCACUGGCCCGGUACUGACGCUGAGGUGCGAAAGCGUCGGGAGCAAACAGG